rnacentral:rRNA from 1 species
ACACUGUUCAUGGGUUACCGCGGCUGCUGGCACGGAGUUAGCCGGUGCUUCUUCUGUGAGUGAUGUCCUUCCUGCCGGCUAUUAACCCGCAGGCCUUCUUCCUCACUGAAAGUGCUUUACAACCCGAAGGCCUUCUUCACACACGCGGCAUGGCUGGAUCAGGGUUGCCCCCAUUGUCCAAUAUUCCCCACUGCUGCCUCCCGUAGGAGUCUGGGCCGUGUCUCAGUCCCAGUGUGGCUGAUCAUCCUCUCAGACCAGCUACGGAUCGUCGCCUUGGUGAGCCGUUACCUCACCAACCAGCUAAUCCGACAUAGGCUCAUCCGAUAGCGCGAGGCCCGAAGGUCCCCCGCUUUCCCCCGUAGGGCGUAUGCGGUAUUAGCCUGGGUUUCCCCCAGGUUAUCCCCCACUACCGGGCAGAUUCCUAUGCAUUACUCACCCGUCCGCCGCUCGCCACCAGGGAGCAAGCUCCCCGUGCUGCCGCUCGACUUGCAUGUGUUAGGCCUGCCGCCAGCGUUCAAU